GGAAAGGGGUAAAAACUUACCUUUUUCCAGCGCUGGGCGGAGCUCUCCUCCUCCGUUCCGCCCCGUCGGCUGGCUGCGCGCGCAUUCAGCCGGUCACAUAGGAAAGCAUUCUCAAUGCUUUCCUUUGGACGCUGGCGUGCUCUCACUGUGAAAAUCACAGUGAGAAGCACGCAAGCGCCUCUAGUGGCUGUCAAUGAGACAGCCACUAGAGGAUUAAG